rnacentral:misc_RNA from 1 species
CCCAACUAUCCCUAUUAAUCAUUACGGUGAUCCUAGAAACCAACGAAAUAGAAUCAGUCCGUCCUAUUUCAUUAUUCCAUGCUAAUGUAUUCAGACGAUAGUCUGCUUUAAACACUCUAAUUUUUUCAAAGUAACAGUCCUGAUUUCCCAUCACACCAAAUGAAUGGCAUGAAAGUUCCUCAGAAGGUAGAGAUCCAUCUCACCAGUGCAGACAAUUAAGCCUGACCAAUGGGUAGACCCCGAGGUUCAACUACGAGCUUUUAAUUAAGUGCUCGUGGGAUUCCGAUAGUUUACUUUGAGAAAAAUAGAGUGUUCAAAGCAGGCGUUUUUGCCGUUGAAUACAUUAGCAUGGGAUAAUAGAAUAGGACAUUGGUUCUAUUUUGAUGGUUUACGGACCGAUGUAAUGAUUAAUAGGGAUAGUUGGGGUUAAGCCCGAU